GACAGAGGGGGCCAGCGUUGCUCGGAAUUACUGGGCGUAAAGGGCGCGUAGGCGGGAUGGCAAGUCGGUCGUGAAAUCCCUCGGCUCAACUGAGGAUCGUCGAUCGAUACUGCCGUUCUUGAGGAUUGCAUAGGAGACUGGAAUUCCCGGUGUAGCGGUGAAAUGUGUAGAGAUCGGGAGGAACACCGGUGGCGAAGGCGGGUCUCUGGGCAAUUCCUGACGCUGAGGCGCGAAAGCGUGGGGAGCAAACGGG
rnacentral:rRNA from 1 species